rnacentral:rRNA from 1 species
UAACCUCAUCGAUUGACGUUACCCGCAGAAGAAGCACCGGCUAACUCCGUGCCAGCAGCCGCGGUAAUACGGAGGGUGCAAGCGUUAAUCGGAAUUACUGGGCGUAAAGCGCACGCAGGCGGUCUGUCAAGUCGGAUGUGAAAUCCCCGGGCUUAACCUGGGAACUGCAUUCGAAACUGGCAGGCUAGAGUCUUGUAGAGGGGGGUAGAAUUCCAGGUGUAGCGGUGAAAUGCGUAGAGAUCUGGAGGAAUACCGGUGGCGAAGGCGGCCCCCUGGACAAAGACUGACGCUCAGGUG